GUUGGUUGAAAAUCACCUUCGGCUCUGACCAUGGCCGCAGGUGAGAUUCGGCGCCCAGAGCCACUGGGGGCCUUAGCUCACUGCCCGCUUCUCUGUGUGGGGAUGUGAAACCCAGGCCCCGACACGC
rnacentral:snoRNA from 8 species